GAAGUUUGGGGCUUGGGUUAUUUCUCUUCAUUUCAUGCUAGCUCACUUUUAAAACCCAUGGCCACGUUUAAGUCAUGGGAGUUGAAAGUAAGGUUCCCCUCUCCCCUUGUCAAAUGAGAAGUUGGUCUGUCCAAGCCACAGGUGUUCAAAAACAGUAAGAAAAGAUCAAAACCCCCCAAAACCCUGAACUGAGCGCUUCCUCUGAGCGGUACAUGUGCUGGCCUGGCCUGCUGCUGUGUUUCCUGUUCCCUUUCUUCGCGGCUCCGCAGCUCUCCUGCCUUUCCCUCCUCCCUGGCCUCUUAGCUCCUCUUUCCCACACUUCCAGCUUCAUUUCCUGCUGGUCUCAUCUUAUCCUAUGUCAGAUGACAGGACGAUAAUCGGCUCCCCAGUUGUCAAGCCUUUAUGUGCCCGGUUUCCUCAGCUACCUCCCUCUUUGGUUAUGGAAAGUCUUCCUUUGGGGUGGUGGGAUUAGCGCAGGUGGGGCCCACUGAGAAGACUUCGGGACUCCCUGCUUUUCACCCACUGCAGUUGCAGGCUUCAGGAGGCGUGGAUUUGUGAUGUCUUCUAAGGUGUUCUGAGCGCUUGUUCUUCGGCCAAGUUUUGAUGGUACCCGAGGGAGGAAACUUUCCACGGACCAAGAGCACGUAUAGCGUGAGGACUCCCGCAAGGCUGCCCAGCACGCGGGCCCUUUUCUAGUCACGACUGAAGUGGUUAUGGAAAGCGUUCCCUGGGAUCGAUCUCGGAAUUUCAGUGUCCUGGGUUUUCUUCACAGACUGUGGGAUGAAGUGGUGUGCUGACGGAGUCUAAAUCUGGAGGAUCAGUGUGAACAUUUCCCAGGGUCUUUUUUUUUUGUUGCUGUUUAAAAGUGUGUAUUAAGGACUUUCAGGGAACUUCAACUAAAAGAAAAAUCAUGAUUAUCAUGAUUAUAUCACAACUCAAAUACAAUCAGGGAACUUCAAGCCUCUUGGAGGUUCUCCACGUCACUCUCCAGAUGUGAGAUGGAGCCCUUCCCCCGCAAGGUGGGCAUGUAGGAAGCAGCAAGAUCCUUGAGCCAAAAAUCUAUGUAGUCUGUUGUCAGAGCUCAGAGACUCGACUGCCUGGACAUCUUUGUACCUCUGAAACAUGGAUCUCAAAUUCACCACCCCCACCCAGUUGGCAGCCAUCUUCCCUGCAGAGCAUGGCAGGCAGAAAGGUUGAGUGGAUCUCAACUUCUCUGGUUCGCGAAGAUGCUUAGAUACAGUCAAGCCACAAUGGCUUGAAGACCUGUCGCUUGUGUGGGGGUCCUGUCAGACUUUCAUGGUCCAGAUUUCUACACAGCUGCUUUCAAGUAUUUCCCUGCUAACUGUGUUACUGUGAGGUGUUGGAGAGCUAAGGGGAGAGGCGCUGAGUCAGCGCUCUUGACAAAGGCAUCCCGCGGAGUCUGGCAUAGCCUUGACCCCAUGUUCCAGGUCCCCAUCCUGUUCCUGUUGGCAUCUUCUGGGCCAAGCUUGUGUCACAGGGCUCCUGAAAACCUCCACAUAGCAUCCCUUGGUCCUUUCCAUCAUGUUCUGCUCCUGACAUGUAGCAUUUCCCCUAGGAGGUGACAAGAAGCCAGGUCCCCAGGGACAGCACAAAAGGCCAGAGAGGAGCUGUUCUAAAGAUGCCCACCCUGGCACCCCACACCCAUCAGUGGUGCCCGGGGAGAAGGGUGAACAGAUAAGCCCAUGGAGUAGCCAGCACCACAUUUUCCCACCUGACUCACUUCCUUAGCCCCCACUUUUCUCAGAGAGCAGCUAGGGUGAGGCAGGGAGAUAAUUAGGGGAGAGGAAGGAUGGGGGAGUACUUAGUCUCAGGAAGGUCAGGUUCAGCCCGAUAUUUGCAACACAGAACUAAUAUUUUUCUUCUACUAAAGAGUGAGAGAAGUAAUGAUCUGAAAGCCUCACUUUCCUCAGUGUCCCUGCUUCUCUCCUUCACUUCUCCCUCCCCCAAUCCCUGCCUCUCUUUUCCUCUCUUCCCUCCCUCUCUCUCCCCCUUCCCUCCCUUCCUC